UCAUGACAAAAGGGAACCUCCCACCAGCCUGAGGGCGGGACGCUGAGGACCCCAGAGCCCUGCCUCCAGGCUGCUGUCGUAGUGUGACACAGCAACUUCCGAGCAGGAAGGAGAAGCCCGAUCCUAACUGGGGGAAGCUGUUUGCUUAGACAACUUUCUACACUUCAAAUAUUACACCUUAAACAACACACUGGACUAAGAAAUCUGAUCAUGUCCAGGCUUUUAACACCCUCCUCCCCCAAGGAACAAUAAAACACACCAGCGAAAACAAAGAGGCUGCCCUGAAAAGGUUGCAGUGGUGGAUGAUACUGGCAGAAUCAGAAAGGAAGCUAAGAGAAACAGGCGCGUCCUCAGCCGGGCCUCGCGUGUCCUGACACUGCAGCAGGCACGGGAUGUGGGCUGUCCCCUCCAGCACAGUGCGGGAAGGUGCUGGGGCAUCCAAACAGCAAAAGCAAACCUGAGACCCCAAAACAACUGCGUCUGGCCCAGGGGAGUGGGCAAAAAUUCCAACAGGGAGAGACCGUCUCUGGCUUAUUUACAGACAGGGUAAGUAAGGAUGCCCAAAGACAAGGCGGAGUAUUAGUAACAGAACUCAUGAAGUUCUAUGGAUCGGGAUGCUUUAAAAAAAAAAAAAAAACACCAAAGCUCAUCCAGAAUGUCUGAGGUCCCUGCAGUAACAUCCAUGCUAAUUGGUAAGUAAGACAAAGCCUCCCCUAACAAAUCAGCAAUGUAAUUAUAAAGCCAGUCACUAGAUCAAGCCAGUCUCCUGUGCUCCAGCGAUAUUCUGAACCUGUAACCCGAUACCACUGUUUGCUGCCGGCGCCUCCUCCGGGCUCUCCCGCUGCGCACCGGCCGCGCGGGGGCCCGCAGGGCAACGCAGCCUAGGCUGUUUGUGCAAGAUGAGACCCUGCAUUUGACGAAGACCUGCAGGAGCAAUCCUCCCGGCUUUCUUGACAGUGAAGAAGAAGAAGAAGAAAAAAAAAGCCUGACGAUACACUGAAAUUCGAACAGGAAGUCAAGCCCCAAAAGAAAGCUAUUAGUGCUCCAUGUAAACAAGCACGCCCAAUUCAAGUUGGAACUCUUUAAAUUCUGGAAGACAGCACAUCACAUCCAGCCACGAGGGGGCGCAGCCGAGCAGCAAGGAGCGCAAAAGUCUCAUUCUUCACUGCAAUUUCUACCUACAGCUCUCUCAAAGUAUACACAUUUUCAAGAUUGUUUCCAAAUUCAGGUAUCCACAGGACACUGCUAAGCAAGCUGGGAGCUUUGCCAAGGCCAAAAUAAAUUAAAUUAUGGUACGGUUCAAACUCUGGAAGUACUGUGUAUAGGAAAGGUUGUUUCUCUGUAUAUAAAAGUUAAUACUGGUAUUUCAAAAACCAUGGUUAAAAUCCCUGGAGGAUUCCUGAAAUGAGAACAAACACACAACAACAAACACACACCCAAGUCAUGAGAUGUGAACGUGGAGAAACCAACAGUUCAGAAUUUCCAGUGGGGCUUGCAACAUGGACUCCCAAUAAAACAAUGAGUCUCAAUAAAUUCGGCACUAAGCUUUUACCAGUAUAGAUAGACGCCUUUACUGGGCCUACUUACUACUUCUUAAUAACUAUAAAUUAUCUCCAUACUGAACAGAUACUGCUUCAGGCAGUUAUUUGGGAAAACCCUUCAUAAAGGACAUUGGAGAGGGGCCAUUUAAUUAUAAAAUGUAACACAGUUAACCUUAGGGAGAUGAUGAAGCGAGAUCAUUAUGUGUAACUACUUGCUGGGAUUCUUUCUAUUUAAAUUAUAAGUUCAGGUUAUAUGAUGUUGUAUGUUCAAUAAUAAUGCUCAUAAUAGAUGAAAUGUUAUAAUGAGUCUCCACAUUUGAAAAUUGGAAACUAUAAACAUAUCUAUAUUUUAUAAUCAUUUGAAUUGUGAUACUACUUCAUAAUAAUUUGGUGUCAGAGUAUGUUUUUAGCAUUUUGAGUCUAAGGCCUCAUUAACAUUAGGGUAAGGAACUCUCAGAUUUGACAAUUUUUCCCAUAAGAUUACGUGCUUUACUAGUAAAGACUAGCCAGCAUUGCCCAACCUCCCAUUCUCGGGCAUAAUGAAAAUAUUUUUUCUCCUGUAUUUAUAAUUGCUUGGAUGGGAUUCUGUUUCAAUCCUCCUGUAGCAUCUUUUCCCUAAAGAUACACUGUUUUUCUCCCUCACACUAGAGACCCUUAAUAAACAAUGUCAAGGAGGUGGGGAACUUAGAGUAGAAAGGAAAGGCUUUGCCAAAAGUAUGUGACAGUUUUUGUGUUUAAAAAAAAAAAAAAA
rnacentral:lncRNA from 1 species